AUUGAACGCUGGCGGCAUGCCUAACACAUGCAAGUCGAACGGGGCAGCAAUGCCUAGUGGCGGACGGGUGAGGAAUACGUAGGAAUCUGCCCUUAAGAGGGGGAUAACCAGGGGAAACCCUGACUAAUACCGCAUGAUCUCUUCGGAGCAAAGAGGGGGACCGCAAGGCCUCUCGCUUCUGGACGAGCUUACGUCUGAUUAGCUAGUUGGUUGGGCAAAGGCCUACCAAGGCGACGAUCAGUAACUGGUCUGAGAGGAUGCUCAGUCACACCGGAACUGAGACACGGUCCGGACUCCUACGGGAGGCAGCAGUGGGGAAUUUUGGACAAUGGGCGCAAGCCUGAUCCAGCAAUGCCGCGUGCAGGAAGAAGGCCUUCGGGUUGUAACCUGCUUUUGUACGGAACGAAACGGUCCUGGUUAAUACCCGGGGCUAAUGACGGUACCGUAAGAAUAAGCACCGGCUAACUACGUGCCAGCAGCCGCAGUAACAC
rnacentral:rRNA from 1 species